AUUAAAGAGUUCUAUAACUCCCAAACCCAUGUGAACAUACCUAACGUUGCCUCGGCAGGUCGCACCUACCUUGUAGCACCCUACCCUGUAGGGCCUACCCGGGAGGUGCGGGUAAGCCUGCCGGCGGCCCACCAAACUCUGUUUGAUAUUGAAUUCUGAACCUAUAACUAAAUAAGUUAAAACUUUCAACAACGGAUCUCUUGGUUCUGGCAUCGAUGAAGAACGCAGCGAAAUGCGAUAAGUAAUGUGAAUUGCAGAAUUCAGUGAAUCAUCGAAUCUUUGAACGCAUAUUGCGCCCAUUAGUAUUCUAGUGGGCAGGACCGUUCGAGCGUCAUUUCAACCCUUAAGCCUUCGUUGCUUAGUGUUGGGAGCCUACGGCAACGUAGCUCCUCAAAGUUAGUGGCGGAGUUGGUUCACACUCUAGACGUAGUAAUUUUUUAUCUCGCCUAUUAGUUGGACUAAUCCCCUGCCGUAAAACCCCCAAUUUAUCAAGGUUGACCUCGAAUCGGUUCAGACAAACUCGCUAAAUUGAAGCAUCUUAGUCAGCGAAGGAAAAGAAACCAACAGGGAUUGCCCUAGUAACGGCGAGUGAAGCGGCAACAGCUCAAAUU
rnacentral:rRNA from 1 species